UACGUAGGGGGCAAGCGUUGUCCGGAAUCAUUGGGCGUAAAGAGCGUGUAGGCGGCUCGAUAAGUCUGCUGUGAAAGUCCAGGGCUCAACCCUGGAAGGCCGGUGGAAACUGUCGGGCUAGAGUCCGGAAGAGGCGAGUGGAAUUCCCGGUGUAGCGGUGAAAUGCGCAGAUAUCGGGAGGAACACCAAUGGCGAAGGCAGCUCGCUGGGACGGUACUGACGCUGAGACGCGAAGCGUGGGGAGCGAACAGG
rnacentral:rRNA from 1 species